CAGAGUGUAGUUUAGGUAAAAUAUUAGUUUUGGGAAUUGAUGAUAAGAUUUUUCUUCUCUCUGA
rnacentral:tRNA from 1 species